GCUCAGGAUGAACGCCGGCGGUGUGCCUAAUACAUGCAAGUCGAACGCGUUGGCCCAAUUGAUUGAUGGUGCUUGCACCUGAUUGAUUUUGGUCGCCAACGAGUGGCGGACGGGUGAGUAACACGUAGGUAACCUGCCCAGAAGCGGGGGACAACAUUUGGAAACAGAUGCUAAUACCGCAUAACAGCGUUGUUCGCAUGAACAACGCUUAAAAGAUGGCUUCUCGCUAUCACUUCUGGAUGGACCUGCGGUGCAUUAGCUUGUUGGUGGGGUAACGGCCUACCAAGGCGAUGAUGCAUAGCCGAGUUGAGAGACUGAUCGGCCACAAUGGGACUGAGACACGGCCCAUACUCCUACGGGAGGCAGCAGUAGGGAAUCUUCCACAAUGGGCGCAAGCCUGAUGGAGCAACACCGCGUGAGUGAAGAAGGGUUUCGGCUCGUAAAGCUCUGUUGUUAAAGAAGAACACGUAUGAGAGUAACUGUUCAUACGUUGACGGUAUUUAACCAGAAAGUCACGGCUAACUACGUGCCAGCAGCCGCGGUAAUACGUAGGUGGCAAGCGUUAUCCGGAUUUAUUGGGCGUAAAGAGAGUGCAGGCGGUUUUCUAAGUCUGAUGUGAAAGCCUUCGGCUUAACCGGAGAAGUGCAUCGGAAACUGGAUAACUUGAGUGCAGAAGAGGGUAGUGGAACUCCAUGUGUAGCGGUGGAAUGCGUAGAUAUAUGGAAGAACACCAGUGGCGAAGGCGGCUACCUGGUCUGCAACUGACGCUGAGACUCGAAAGCAUGGGUAGCGAACAGGAUUAGAUACCCUGGUAGUCCAUGCCGUAAACGAUGAGUGCUAGGUGUUGGAGGGUUUCCGCCCUUCAGUGCCGGAGCUAACGCAUUAAGCACUCCGCCUGGGGAGUACGACCGCAAGGUUGAAACUCAAAGGAAUUGACGGGGGCCCGCACAAGCGGUGGAGCAUGUGGUUUAAUUCGAAGCUACGCGAAGAACCUUACCAGGUCUUGACAUCUUGCGCCAACCCUAGAGAUAGGGCGUUUCCUUCGGGAACGCAAUGACAGGUGGUGCAUGGUCGUCGUCAGCUCGUGUCGUGAGAUGUUGGGUUAAGUCCCGCAACGAGCGCAACCCUUGUUACUAGUUGCCAGCAUUAAGUUGGGCACUCUAGUGAGACUGCCGGUGACAAACCGGAGGAAGGUGGGGACGACGUCAGAUCAUCAUGCCCCUUAUGACCUGGGCUACACACGUGCUACAAUGGACGGUACAACGAGUCGCGAACUCGCGAGGGCAAGCAAAUCUCUUAAAACCGUUCUCAGUUCGGACUGCAGGCUGCAACUCGCCUGCACGAAGUCGGAAUCGCUAGUAAUCGCGGAUCAGCAUGCCGCGGUGAAUACGUUCCCGGGCCUUGUACACACCGCCCGUCACACCAUGAGAGUUUGUAACACCCAAAGUCGGUGGGGUAACCUUUUAGGAGCCAGCCGCCUAAGGUGGGACAGAUGAUUAGGG
rnacentral:rRNA from 1 species